rnacentral:pre_miRNA from 9 species
UCUCGAUAACGUAAAAGUUAACACAAAUUUGUAUAGCGUUGGAACGCUUGCCUACGUUUGCCGCUAGGGGCGCUGUUCCAACUGCAUACACAUUUGAGUUAGCUUUUACGCUAUCCA